CAGGUGCUUGGCUCUGCUACAGGACGAUUGGAAUUCCUUGUGUGGGAAGAGGAUGCCAUCUACUGGGGAUAGCUUGACACUCCUGCUGGAAUGCAGAUCAAGAACAGCAGUCGUGUGGGGUCCUGGAGCCAGCCCCAAGGGGUCAGACCCUGGACAGUUCUCCAGUCCAUCACAUGGUCUCUUACAGAGACAAA